GUGAUACAUUUCCCUUUGGUUAUAAAGGCUAUACGCCUAAGCUCGUAUAUAUGAAAUAAUGGAAAGAAAAUGAAAGAUGUUGAGUCAGCUGUUAAAAACCGAGCUCGGGGGAAAGACCUAAUGAGGUCAAAAUCUAUGAAAGAGUACAGCUUAAAAAUUUUUUACCCUUAAAGUAAAUCCAGCUCGGAAAAAGCCUGCAGAUAAGAAUACCCUUGUGAAAUUGGAAAGUUAUUAAGUCAGAGACUAAGUCUCUUGCUAAGUUUUAGCCCUGAUUAACUGAGGGGCAAGGAAUGAAAGGCGAUUUAGUCAAUUCCUUACAAAGUUUAUUAGGCACAGCUUAAGUGUUUUAUUCUCAAGUCUUUAAAAUUAAACAAGUUAGACUGUUUUAACAGAAUAAGUAGCCCGGUG
rnacentral:lncRNA from 1 species